UUUGGGGAAAAGAGGAAGGAGAAGCAGGAACUGAGUCUGAAGAAAGGAGAACACGUGAAAGUGAGAAGAGCCAAAGGGGAAGAGAACCUUCGAAGUUCGACUCUGAGAUUAAGGAUGUAGCGGCGUCUUGAUUGGGUGAAGAUAGCUUAUAGGCUAGCCCUUAGUCCGUGUCGAGUCAUGCUCUGAAUGUAACACUGGGGAACGCUAGUUUAGAGACGAGUUAUUAUGUCGGUCUUUGUUGUUUAUAAUUGUAUUAGAGAACUUGCAUGAAUGAUGAUGAUUAUGCAAUGUUAUGAAUUAUAAUCCGCUGUGUUGAACAUGAAUUGUAUUUAUGUUAAAUGGUUCCUCGUGUGGCAUGACAAAUGACUAUAGUAUUUUAUGUUAAAGAAGUUGUGA